rnacentral:lncRNA from 1 species
UUCUUCAUAGUAAAAAAAAAUAUUUUGCAUACGUACAUACACAAAAAAUCAUAUUAUAUUGUCUUUCUUGCACUCUAAGUUUCUUUCUUUCAUUGUGUUUUUAAUUUUACUAUAUCAUUAAGUAACUAAUUACCUCCUAGUUACUUAGCAUUAUCUACAUUCGUGUGUUUAUUAAUCAUCAUCUAGAGUUGGUUACUACUUUCCUCGAUUAGGAUUUCUUAAAAAAAACUUGAUUAUCUUGAUUUAAAGGAAUUCAAUUCUGAUAUUCAAUUUGCAGGACGAAGCUUGAGUGAAACACAAAGAGUUAAACACUUGAGGGAGUGUUAUUUUCUUUAU